AUUGAACGCUGGCGGCAGGCCUAACACAUGCAAGUCGAGCGAGCGGCGGACGGGUGAGUAAUGUCUGGGAAACUGCCUGAUGGGGGGGGAUAACUACUGGAAACGGUAGCUAAUACCGCAUACCAUCAGAUGUUCCCAGGUGGGAUUAGCUAGUAGGGGGGGUAACGGCUCACCUGGGCGACGAUCCCUAGCUGGUCUGAAGGGAUGACCAGACACACGGGAAGUGGAACACGGUCCCGACACCUACGGAAGGCAGAGGUGGGAAAUAUUGGAAAAUGGGGGCAAGCCGGCUGCAGCCCUGCCGCGUGUGUGAAGAAGGCCUUGGGGGUGUAAGGCACUUUCAGCGGGGAGGCGGUACCCGCAGAAGAAGCACCGGCUAACUCCGUGCCAGCAGCCGCGGUAAUAC
rnacentral:rRNA from 1 species